rnacentral:rRNA from 1 species
UUCAACUUGAGAGUUUGAUCCUGGCUCAGAACGAACGCUGGCGGCAGGCCUAACACAUGCAAGUC